GACGAACGCUGGCGGCGUGCUUAACACAUGCAAGUCGUACGGACAGUCCCGUCUUUUUUUGUGUGCUCGAGUGGCGAACGGAUUAGUAACACGUUAGUCACCUCCCCUUGACUUUGGGAUAUCUUCAGGAAACUGCUGCUCAUACCUGUUGUGCUCUCCUGCUGCAUGGUGGGGGUUGGAAAGUUUCGGCGUUUGGGGGGGGACUCGCGGCUUAUCAGCUUGUUGGUGGGGUAGUGGCUUACCAAGGCGUGGACGGGUAGCCGGCCUGAGAGGGUGACCGGGCACAUUGGGACUGAGAUACGGCCCAGACGACGAAGGGAGGCAGCAGUGGGGAAAAUUGAACAAUGGGCGGAAGACUGAUGCAGCAAGGACGCGGGAGGGAUGACGGGUGUAGGGUUGUAAACCGCGUACGCAUGUGACGAAGAGUGAGUGAAGGUAAUGGGUAAAGAAGCACCGGCUAACUACGUG
rnacentral:rRNA from 1 species